rnacentral:rRNA from 1 species
UACGGGGGGGGUAAGCGUUGUUCUGAAUUACUGGGCGUAAAGGGCUCGUAGGCGGCCAACUAAGUCGGACGUGAAAUCCCUCAGCUUAACUGGGGAACUGCGUCUGAUACUGGAUGGCUUGGAUUUGGGAGAGGGAUGCGGAAUUCCAGGUGUAGCGGUGAAAUGCGUAGAUAUCUGGAGGAACACCGGUGGCGAAGGCGGCAUCCUGGACCAACAUUGACGCUGAGGAGCGAAAGCCAGGGGAGCAAACGGG